GCGGAGGUAGCAAAGUCUGGCCAAAUGCGCAGGACUUAAGAUCCUGUCUCUUAGUGGGUUCGGGAGUUCGAAUCUCCUCCUCCGCA
rnacentral:tRNA from 1 species